GUGGCGUGAUGAACGUGUUUAUCCAUUCGCCGAGCGCCGCUGGUUCUGUCCCUCAGCGGCCGUGUGGCCCGUUCUGGGUCACGGGGUCACAGCCGUCUGGUAAUGCUCUGCUGGUCUGACGUUCUGUCGGGUCACUGGUGUGGGGUCUGACGUGCUGGUGCGAGGGGUCAGACCGGUUCUGACAAAGACGAAUAGACGUGUCUGAUCAC
ensembl:snoRNA small nucleolar RNA SNORD17